CAAGGUCUUGGUCUUAAACCUCCUAUUGUCUACAUGUCUGUUUAUACAUGCAAGUCUCAACACAACGGUGAAACAGCCAUAUCAACCAUAUGAGCCGAUAUCAGCCACAAACAAUGACAUCAAGCAUAAGCCACACCCCCACGGGUACACAGCAGUACUUAAUAUUAGGCUAUAAGUGAAAACUUGACCUAGCAAGAUACACACUAGAGCCGGUUAAUCUCGUGCCAGCGACCGCGGUUAUACGACAGGCUCAAGACAAUAUAAUCGGCGUAAAGCACGACUAAAAUAAAGUAUAACCUUUAGGGUAGAAACUACCUGGGCUGUAAAAAGCCAUAAGCCACAAUAAUCACCCUAAACAACAAACCUUUUUGACUCGAAAAAGCUAGGACAUAAACUAAGAUUAGAUACCUUACUAUACCUAGCCGCAACAUACAAUUAAAGUACUAAUUGUUCGCCAAACAACUACGAGUUGUAACUUAAAACUUAAAAGACUUGACGGUGCUUCAUCCAACCUAGAGGAGCCUGUCCAAUAACCGAUAACCCGCGUUUAACCCCACCCCCUCUCGCCAACAGUCUAUAUACCGCCGUCACAAGCUUACCUUGUAAAAGAAACAAAGUAGGCCAAAAAGUUCUACGCUAACACGACAGGUCGAGGUGUAACUAAUGAAGGGGCAAAGAUGGGCUACAUUCUCUUACCAGAGAAUACGAACAACACUAUGAACAUAGUGAUAGAAGGAGGAUUUAGUAGUAAGAUGGGAAUAAAACACCCAACUGAACUUAACGCAAUGAAGUGCGUACACACCGCCCGUCAUCCCUGCCUGUACCACAUUAACCUACAUAAACCAACAACAAGCACCCAACCAGGGCAAGUCGUAACAUGGUAAGUGUACUGGAAAGUGCACUUAGAAA
rnacentral:ncRNA from 1 species